rnacentral:tRNA from 1 species
GGCGCGAUGGCAGAGUGGUCAUGCAGUGGAUUGCAAAUCCGCCUACGUCGAUUCGAUUCCGGCUCGCGCCU